GUCCUUUCUCUUUGCAAACCUCAAGAUAGGACGUAAUGUGCCAAGCAAGUUCUUCCAAAAAUCUUGCAGAGAACAAGCUGGCAACUUUUCCAGUAAUUUGUGGUUGUGAAAGAUGAAUAGUAGACAUUUCAGGAAAGGGAAGUGUCCUGGGGCAAUGCGUUAUAUAGAUAUUCACUUCUGGACUGGAAAUCUCAUUCUUGAGAUUUCACUGACCAGCAACACUCCAGUGAAACUGCAGUCAAAAUUUAUGGAGUCUGCAGUAAAUAUGAAGCUAAAGUAACAGGCAAUGAAGAGCUCACCUGCUGCCUCCAGGGCUGCUUAACAUGCUGCAACCAGGCUGAAUGGUGCAUAUUGGACUGGAACCUGGAUCCUUGAGUAAAUGAAAGGAGAAAAGCCCCUAUCCAGUAUAUCAGAUUUGUGUAAACCAAAAAAUAAACUUUCAAUAUGGUAAGUCUCCGA
rnacentral:lncRNA from 10 species